UACGGGGGGGGCAAGCGUUGUUCGGAAUUACUGGGCGUAAAGGGCCAGUAGGCGGCCGACUAAGUCCGACGUGAAAUCCCCAGGCUUAACCUGGGAACUGCGUCGGAUACUGGCCGGCUUGAAUUCGGGAGAGGGAUGCAGAAUUCCAGGUGUAGCGGUGAAAUGCGUAGAUAUCGGGAGGAACACCAGUGGCGAAGGCGACUACCUGGCCCAUUCUUGACGCUGAGGCGCGAAAGCUAGGGGAGCGAACGGG
rnacentral:rRNA from 1 species